UCGGACGUCGUGCAUGCUGCACGCCUGCUAUGUGUACGAAAGCUAUUUGCCACAUCUGCAGGAAUCCUGGGUUCGAUUCCCAGCGUCCGAC